AACCAACAACAACCUUGUACUUACUCAAAAUCGAGUAAAUACUCCUUUUCCGUCGAGUCUAACCAUCUCGGCGGUUUUUUAU
rnacentral:antisense_RNA from 1 species